rnacentral:rRNA from 1 species
GGCUCAGAACGAACGCUGGCGGCAGGCCUAACACAUGCAAGUCGAACGCCCCUUCGGGGGAGUGGCAGACGGGUGAGUAACGCGUGGGAACCUACCCAAGGGUACGGAAUAGCUCCGGGAAACUGGAAUUAAUACCGUAUACGUCCUUCGGGAGAAAGAUUUAUCGCCCCUGGAUGGGCCGCGUUGGAUUAUGUUAGUUGGUGGGGUAAUGGCUCACCAAGACUUCGAUCUAUAGUUGGUCUGAGAGGAUGAUCAGCCACACUGGUACUGAGAUACGGACCAGACUCCUACGGGAGGCAGCAGUGGGGAAUAUUGGACAAUGGGCGAAAGCCUGAUCCAGCUAUACCGCGUGAGUGAUGAAGGUCUUAGGAUUGUAAAGCUCUUUUAGCGAGGAAGAAAAUGACGAUACUCGCAGAAAAAGUCCCGGCUAACUCCGUGCCAGCAGCCGCGGUAAUACGGAGGGGGCUAGCGUUGUUCGGAUUUACUGGGCGUAAAGGGUGUGUAGGCUGUUUGGAAAGUUAGAUGUGAAAGCCUAUGGCUCAACCAUAGAAUGGCAUUUAAUACUACCAAACUUGAGUUAAGAAGAGGAUAGUGGAAUUCCUAGUGUAGGGGUGAAAUCCGUAGAUAUUAGGAGGAACGUCGAGGGCGAAGGCAGCUAUCUGGUCUUAUACUGACGCUGAGGCACGAAAGCGUGGGGAGCAAACAGGAUUAGAUACCCUGGUAGUCCACGCUGUAAACGAUGAGUGCUAGGUGUGUGGAUUAAUUAAUCUGCGCGCCGUAGCUAACGCAUUAAGCACUCCGCCUGGGAAGUACGGUCGCAAGACUAAAACUCAAAGGAAUUGACGGGGACUCGCACAAGCGGUGGAGCAUGUGGUUUAAUUCGAUGCAACGCGAAAAACCUUACCAUACCUUGACAUACCUGUCGCGGUUACCAGAGAUGGUUUCCUUCAGUUCGGCUGGACAGGAUACAGGUGUUGCAUGGCUGUCGUCAGCUCGUGUCGUGAGAUGUUGGGUUAAGUCCCGCAACGAGCGCAACCCUCGCCUUUAGUUGCCAGCAUUUAGUUGGGCACUCUAGAGGGACUGCCGGUGAUAAGCCGGAGGAAGGUGGGGAUGACGUCAAGUCCUCAUGGCCCUUAUGGGUUGGGCUACACACGUGCUACAAUGGCGGCGACAGAGGGCAGCGACCCCGCGAGGGUGAGCAAAUCUCCAAAAGCCGUCUCAGUUCGGAUUGUUCUCUGCAACUCGAGAGCAUGAAGUUGGAAUCGCUAGUAAUCGCAGAACAGCAUGCUGCGGUGAAUACGUUCCCGGGCCUUGUACACACCGCCCGUCACAUCAUGGGAGUUGGCUUUACCCGAAGGUAGUGCGCUAACCAGCAAUGGAGGCAGCUAACCACGGUGAGGUCAGCGACUGGGAUGAAGU